GCACUGCUGCGGUCUGCCGCUGGCCCUUCUGAAAGGUUGGACGAGAGGAAAGUCCGGGCAGCACAGGGCGCUCCACUUCUGAAAGUAGAAGCAGUCGGCGACGGCUGGUCAGGGGAGAAGAAAACAACCGCCCCUUUGGGGUAAGGGUGAGAAGGCGUGUGUAAGAGACCACCAGGCGGCGGGUGACCGUCGUGCUGUUCCCGCUGGAGGCUGCAAGUUCAUGUAUACCAUCGACAACAAGGGUUGCCCGCCCGAAAGCUUCGGCUGCGAUGGAGGGUAGAACGCUAGAGGCGCAUGGCGACGUGCGCAGUAGAUAAAUGGCAGACGCUGGCCUCGUGCCAGAACAGAACCCGGCUUAUAGCGGCAAUGCUUUC
rnacentral:RNase_P_RNA from 1 species